UUUCUGCAUCGAUGUAUUAAAUUGUCAUGUAAGCAAAUUUGUAAAAUUUAAUCAACUAACACGUUUUUUAGUUGGUGAACACGUACGGAUGCUGAUACAGUGAUUCACUUGGUUCUAUUGUAUGUCCAUUUUGCUGGUCAUACUCGGGAUACAAUGUAAGAAAUGUGAAGGUACACCAAAUUCACAGGCUCAAUAUACGCCACACUGUCUAUUUUGCAAAUAAGGAGAAAGCAAUACGAUUUCGGUAUGUCACAACCUCAUCGAUCCUGUUGCUGACAUACGCCAAGUACCUUGACUCAAAUCAUAGUCAUACUACUUGUGGAGGGUCAAUGACUCAAUGGUGCCAUUUAAGACGCUUAUUGUACAAGCAAAGAAACAGAUUGAUUACAUACUGCCCAAUGAAGAUGUCGUAUAUGGUUGAAUUUGGUAACAAAUACCCGACAUCCAUCCACCACAGGGGAUCAUUUGUACCCUCUGUUUGUGACCAUCCUGAUCACAAAAUCAUGUGAUGCUGUGUAUCAGCGCUUAAACUCAGGUUCACCAAACCCGAACUUAAGUACUUAUUGGAGCUAUUGUGGGAGGUCCAGAUCAUAACGAUAAAUAUGGCGAUGAUAGGAGCAAUUAUUGCGAAUCAGAGCCAACAACUUAUAUUAAUCCUCCAUUUGUUGGUUCUCUAGCAUUCUUUUCUGGACCAUGAAUUGAGGUUUGAUGUUUAGCUAAAUGGAUAUUGGAGGACUGGGAGAUGUAAUGGCAUGUAUGAUCCCAUAUCCUAGUUGAACUUUUUAAUAUGCAGAUGAAUUUAGUUGUUCUUUGGGAAAU